rnacentral:sRNA from 1 species
UGCAAUAGAAUAGGCUUGCAAGGGCGGCCGGCUAGUCUCCCGGAAGGGAGGUGAUGCCAUGGAGGUAUUUCAAGCGCUGCAAUUGACGUUCCUGUUCGGAAUGUUUAUUCUGGCGCUUCUUGCCUACCUGAAAAAGAAACAGACCGCCCUCGGUCAAAGGUAGCGGUCUAUUUCUGCCGUAACACCUGAGUUCAAGCCUACCGCCCUUAAAAGCGGCUAUUGCAUCGGGAGUCGUGUUAGCCGCACGGCUC